UUGCUUUUUGCAAAGACAACAGCACAUGAGCAAGUUUUGCACUAAUAAUCAGUUCCUGAAAUGUAUUUGCCUUCCACAGGUUCAGGUGGAUUGAGACUCUAGUCUUGCUCCCAGAGAAGGGAAAGGGAAUUUUCCCCCAUGGACAUCCAUGGCAGCAAGCUCAAACCUCAGAGCUCUCAGAUACACUCGCAGCAGAGUCACACUCUUCAUAGGUCCCCAGCUCACUGUUUAAUUUGGGCAGGACUUCUGCAAACUCUUAUCUGUGGGGUCUUGGGAUCCUGUGCCUCAGAAUUACACUUUUUGCUAAGUGAUGCUGAGCUGAACUUAGAUGGCCGAUGGCUGAAACUCCUUCAGGUGGAAAAAUUGCACCGUGCAGCCUAAAUAUCCUCAAACCAAGCUUCAGUUGCAAGGUCCCCGUUUAAGGAAACGGACUCACUACAAAUAUGGAUCGACAGGUACGGAAACAAGUACUAUCCAACCACUCACAUGAUGUUUGCGUGCAAGAUAACACACAAAAAAUAACCUCUGUAUUCACAGAAGUGUUUUCAAUUUAAUCAGAAAUAGAUAAAACCCAGCACCCUGCACCCUCUGCUGCAGCGAUUUCUUCAUAUAAAAUCCAUUAUUUGGGGAGGGAGGGAAAAGGCACAUACUAAGGAAACCAUGGUGUGAAGUGAGCUUCCUUUUUCCACUGUGCUCAUAAGCAGUCAAUGAAUAACUCCAAAGUUUACAGCCCGGCUCACGUGACUCACAAAAACCCACUGGAGACAGUAGGAGCUUUUCUUCGUCUGCAUUUCAGAGACAAAAAUGUCCUGUGUCCUUCUGGAGAGACAGCAUUUUCCUUUUAACCCAAGAAAUAUCCGGAAAAUUUUGCGAAGGAACCCCUGCGGCAAGCUGCUUGAGGCACGCAAGACUGUCGAUGUAAAAUUUAUUCUGCCUACAUUAUGAUGCCCAGGUCUUAUCAGGAACUUCCCAGAGGGCUCAGGGCAGCAGAACUCCCGCUGGAAGGCACCAAAGAGUUCAGCUCAGCAACACCAGCGUCCCUUUGCGGAUCUAAGCACGUUGCUCUAUGGCUGACAGCGUUUCCCCUCCCUGAUGCACGUUCCCAACCCUCACAGCACAGGGCAUCAGUGAGGCCAGCACAUUUGCAGUGCUGCACUUCAAAUUAGAUGGGAGAACUAAACCAGCCAGAAAAUACCCCCAAAAGGCACCCAAUGCAGCUGAGGAAACAGCCAGACCUGUGCGACCAGUGAGAAUGCGGAAACUGCUCACGACAACAUUCCUGCUGCGAAAACGCACCAGGGAACAACAAAGUCUGCAAAUCAGCCGCCUCCCACGGCAAUCAGACGGACCGCUCGAUGCUGCGGGAGCCUCUCGGGGCUUUGCAGUGUAUUCUGCUGCCCUCUCUCCCAUCGCCUCCUAUUCCGGAGCCGGCGAGGGCAGCCCGGGGAGCAAGCACAAUAGGGAGCAAUUCCCCCCAGGUCUCUCGUAGACUGUUUACACAGCCACACUGACUGCUGCGACAGAUGGUAAAAGUCUUAAUUUAGGUGCUGUGGAACACGGAGCUGACAAAUAUCGACUGUAAUACAACUACUUCCAUAACUAAGGCUCAAUCACACAAGGGUAGAAUAGCAGAGCGCUCAAGAGGAAGAGAGAAAGCACAAAAACAUGCACAUCCAGGGAACAAUUCCAUCAUUUUUCAGCUACUCGGAUUGGCCUAACAUAGAGCACCUGUGUUGCAGGCAGCAGCAACAACAUUAAUUUGCCCAGACUACCACUAAAAAGCGAAUAAAUGAAACCAUUAAUUACUUG